CCCGCCGCCCCGCUCGCCCCUUCCGCGCGCCCGCGGCCCCCGGGGCGGGCCGGGGCCUCCGGGGCAGCUGCGCCCGGGAAUGAUAAAGCCAGCAAGAAGGUUGUGCAGAAGGCAGCAAGUGAAGUGAAGAGAUGACUUUGUUACUGGCUUUGUGGAUCUUUGAUCUGGACUCCACCAUGCUGUUAUCUUGCAAGCAGGAAGGCAUCACAUGAAAUCUGGAACUACUGAAGUGCUAUGACAUCAGAUGCCCUUCUGCUGUUUUGGGAGCUUUGUGUCUGCACGUACAGCCAACAGUAGGCUCCAUCCCCUUCAGGAGGUCUGGGUGCUUCAGAAGGUGUGAGAUUACCAGACUGCAGAUGGUCAAGUUUAUCCUUCUUAUGUGAAGAUAAGUCUCCUAUGUAACAGAUACCACCCUUAGCCAGCACAGCACUGCAAGCGUGAAUAGUAGCACUUCCAGUUCCAUGUUUAUCUUUGGACACAGAAGGAAAAAUCUCACUAGAAGGUGGGUGUCGUAUGCCACGAGGCAGAAGACAUAUGCUGUAAUUCAGAAGCCUAGAGGAUUAAAUAAUUCUGUCAGUCAUAAAUUGUUAAAUUACUGUUCAUUUAUUAAAGACUUAAAUAAUACUAGACACUUCAUAAUGGUAUGCAUAUAUAUAUAUUAAGACUCAACUUAGAAAACAAAACAGCCAACGACUCCCGUAACAUAAAACCAGUGUCAAAAUGUUUAAAGUAACUUCGUAUUCCAAGGUCGAAGUCCAGGCUUUCUCACCAACAAGACUAUUUCUUACAGAUUUAACACAUGAGGCAGAUCAUGGUUCAUAAUAGGAGUAAUUCCUAGGAAGUCAAAGAAGUCUUAUAAUUUAAGACCAUAUUGUUAACUCCUAUUCUAGAGAAACUUUUUCAGUGAUUUAAAAGGGUAGCAGAUUAGGAAUCUUGGCCAACUGGAAAAAAUGAGAUGGCUGGGAACUUGCAAGCUCUGCCUCCUGGGUUACAGCACUCCUCUCCCUCCUUCCCCAAAUCUUUCUGAGAAAGCAGGUAUAGAAUUUUUUUCAUCCCCUGUACUAUGUUACAUGGCAGAAGGAGGUUGCAAAUUGUCUGUCUGGUUCCACAAUCAAAGGCUCCUAAUGAUUUUAACAUGUCAGAGCGUGAAUUAACCUACUAUUAAUAAUUAGAAUAAAAUUAUUAUUUAAAAUUAAUAAGUAUUCAUACAUAGGCUAUCAUACCAAUAGAAAUAGGAUGUAGGAAAUGCUCACUCUGACAGGCUGCUGACUAUAAAAGACUAUGUGGACAUGCAAGAUAGUACAAAUGACAGUACUGACCAACAUUUACAGUGUACAAUUGUUUUAAUAUUAAACAGAUGUUUUUUUUCUCAGAACACUCUUGAGUUCCUAUGAUUUCCCUCAGAAAAUCUUACUCUUAAACUGGGGGAAAAAAUAGUUCUACCCACUUUUUUUUUUUUCAAAUUUGAACUGAUUUCUACAGCUAAAUUUUGAAAUUAUUAAGGAGGGUUUUCUUUUUCCACAACAAAAAAAUACUAGUUAAUACUAGAGAACUCUCACGAGAGCAUCUUUUCCAAAACCAAAAAUGAAGCCCUGUUUUGAGAUGGGGGAAGAAGAAGCAAUUUUGUUUAAUGUAAAUUUAAAGCUGAGUAUAUUGUACUUUUCUGCAGUGUAUGUGCAUAUGUGUUAAUAAUUUAUAGUUGUGGUAAGGAGUAAAAUACAUGAAAUGCAUAAAUACAGAAAAACAUUUUGUUAAAGGCAACACCAUUUAUUUGGAUUUAUUUAUUUAUUUGGAUUUAUGACCUAAGUAUAAAGAUGUCCAUGACUUUUGAUACCUCAUCAGAAUAGUUUUUAUGAAAGAGUGAUAAAAAUGUAAGUAUCUGUUUACACACUGCUUAUUAAUUGAAAACUAGUAGCUGGGAAGUGGUGAUGAACAGGCUUCAAGUGACACAAGAUUUGAACAGCAGAGCCCUUUACUUUUAUCAUGGCCAGCUUCCAGAGCAGUCUUCAGUUCUGAUUUGAGAAGCAUGUUUUGUUUGAGCUCUGCUUGUAUUCAGAUCUUACUGAGAUAAUUACAAGAGUGUUAAGAGGCUUUAUUAGUGAAGUUCUGAUCUAAAAUUAUCUGGUGAGAUAAUUUCCCAAGGAAAAAAAUUCUGUAUUUUUAUGAAGUCGGAGACCUGUAUAUUAUUUUAAAAUAAUAGCCUCUUAAGCCUUUCAUGUAAGACUGAUCCCAUUAUGUUUAAAAAUACUCAUUAUUUUAACUUCAAUUUACAUGAAAAAUAAGGAAUCUAUUUACCUUUCAAUUACUAACACGUCGCUUGUCACAAUCAACAGAUCCAGAUAAUCUGCAUUUUCUUUUUCACAUGUCUGUACUAGACUUAGCAAUAUUGCGAGUUUAAGAGUAUUGUAGGUGCCUGGUGGAACAACCUCAGAAGCAAAUAUAUUGGCAAGGAUAGCUGUAAACCUCCAGCAUGAGCCUGAUGUCAGUGAGAGCAGAUACUUAAAAUUGUCACCGACAAAAGAAGGACCUAAUUAAAACAAAGUACAGGUUAGCAAACACUUCAUAAGAGAGCUGUGUUUAUACAGUAGAACAAAUCACCAUUCCAGUCUUGAUACAAAGCUUACAAAGAACAAACAUCAGGUUCAUUUAAUGUAUCAUUUCAAAGUACCUUCCAACAGCUAGGAGAAGUUAGAAAGAGAAGUUGAAGAACUGCAGUAAUGAAUUAUGUAGUUCCCCAAUCCAUGGAAAGUGGGCAAAAGGAGAUAUUCUCAAAUAGCAGUAAGUGUAUUUACUGUAAGAGGAAGGUCCCAGAGUGGUUUCAUAAUGUGGGUGUCUAGAGAAUAGAAAACUACCAAUUCUCAAGAUUUUGUUCCAGAAGGCUUUCCAACUCUCUUAGUCAAUUUUUAAUGGAACUUUCUUACCGUUUGGUUUACAGAGCUGUACACUGUUGACUUCUAUACAUGCUGUAGCUUGUAAGCCAUUUUGUACACAAGCUGGAAUUCCUAUAAUGUUGUAGUGGUUUCCUAUUUUCAUUGUAUUGACUAGUUCAUCUGGAAAUUAUAAAUAAAUAAAUAAAUAAAUAGGUGGGGGGAAGCAUAUAGAUGUAGUAGGGCAUUAAAACAGUUUUAAAGACGGGACCAGAAAACUUCACAUUCUGAACAGUUCAAUUUAAUUGCAGAAAACACCAGUUGGAUGCCAGGUCCACCACACCAUAGCAGACUGGAAAUAAAUUAAGCAUACACUUCUAAUUAAUUAGUGCAAAAGUUAAGGAAGGCACAUGGGGUGUGGAAAAAGUAGAUUCCUGAUAAAGAAAAUGGGUGAUGCAUCUAUUUCUGCAUAGAAAAUAAAAUUUACAGUCAUUUGCAAGUGUGUUCCUACUCUGAAACACGUGGUGACACCAGUACCAGUUACUGUCUGAUAAAACGUCAGGAAAAAAACACAAGAAAAAGGAGAACCACUGAAGCCAGUGGAAGUUUAAUGCAGGCAUAACUCACAGUAUCUCACCCAUACCUUGUAUUAUUAUUAUUAUCAUCAUCAUCAUCAUUCUAUCUAGUUUUCAAUAAAUUAACAAUAUAAUUUCAUAGACUUUAGAAUGGUGGGUUUGGUGGCUUGAUUUUUUUUAAGAUAAAAUGUAACUAUGUUGGUGAGUUGUGAUUUUGGUUGAAUAUUAACAUUAGAAAUAAUGUUUACAGAGGAAGGUAGUGGUAGUAGAUGCCAAAAAUCCUGAUGGAAAAGCAAAAACCAGCUAGAUUGAGGAAGGAUGCUAAACAUCCAUGAUGUUAGUACGAAACAGUAUGACCAAAAGAGGAAGAAAGGAGGGGAAAAAACAAGCUACAUUUAAAAGAUGGUAACUGCAGAGCUGGCCAGCAGAUUUUGUUUAAAUGAAGGUCUAAAAGGGAACAUGAGUUUUGCCAUGUGCUGUCUUCAAUCACCCGUGGAUACUGUUUAGUCACCUAGAUAAUUUUAUUUAUGUAUGUAUUUAUUAAAGAACUGCAAUAUAAAUUAUGACUUCCACCAUUUUAUCCAGAGAAAUAGACCUAUAAGGAAUGCAAGGGAUUACUACAAUUUAAUUUUAAACAUUCUUGACAAAACUCCAAAAUUCAGCUUACCUCUCAGGAAAACUGUAAAUGUCUGAAUCCUGAAAUGUGAUUUAUCAUUGGAAUAUCCUUUCAAAGCAUUAAGAACUUUUGCAUCAAUCAUUUCAACUAUUUGUUUAUCUUUCAAAAUAAAGGCAAAGAAAAUAUUAGUUCUGUGAAAAACAGUACCUCUUUUUUGUUUUGUUGGGGGAUUUAAUUUUUUUUUUUUCUUUUAAUGACUGGUGUAUUUUGGGGCUUUUUCCACUUAACCACUUUGUUUACUUAUUGUGUAGCAGAAGUAGGAAAGUAACAGAUCUAAAAAGAAAACUCCAUAGAUCCUACCACCAAGUACUCUAAAUUUCAUGUCUUCCUGCAGUGGUGAAGAACACAGGCUACACACAAAAUCACUCCUCACUGUGGCAGAUUCUGUGGCUCCAGGCAGAUGCACUCUUAUGUACUUAAACCCUAAAAAUAAAAAAAGAAAAAAAUGAAACUUACCAAAUAUUUAAAAUGAAGACAUGGCUUCCAUUUUAAAUUUCCCAUUGAGAACUGAAGUUAUUAAAAUACUGGGCAGUGAAAUUCCAGUUUUAUGAUGAGUUUGUUCAUAUAAGCAUACGUUCAUAUAUUAUGUUUCCACUGAUGUGAUCUGGAUAGUUUAUUGUAGGUCGACCACAAGAUGGCAGGAUUAACUGCUGCCCAUUCCCACGUGGAACAGCUUAGCCAUGGCUUUCUGAGCCCCAGGGAAAAAGCAAUUGCUGCUUCUGCCUUGCAUGGAAAUUACAUGAAAUACGGGUAUUUAUUAUUAGAGGUGCAUGUCCACACCAAGACAUCAUUAUGAUUCAUUCUACAGUCUCCUAACUUUAGGAUUUUGCUUCUCUUUUAUAAUUUUAUGGUCUCUUGCAGGAAGAAGCAAACAAAACAGCUUUAGAAGUACUUAAACCCUCAUCCUGAAAUGAUACAAGAACUUAAGCAAUAACAUUAAAAGAAAUAAUUCCACAGAAGUCAGCUGCUCAUUUAAGCAAACUUGUUCUGUGCUAGAAGCUCUUGCCAGUCACUUAUACUGUGAUUCUACCAGUUUAGCUUUUUUUCUUUCAGGCCACCACUUCUGUCAAGGUAGACAAGGGCAAUUUCCCUCAUUUUCUGUAUUUCACGAUGCAUCUUCCAAGAAAGGUGUUUGCACUCUUCAAAAUUUUGGAAUAAACUGUGAAGAAAUGAAGUUAGAACUGGCCAUGCUACGAUGAUAAUAAUUAAAGAUUUUCUUCCACAGUGUCCUCUGUCCUCCCUGUAGAUGACCAAUAUGAAAUACCACUUAGAUCUUCACUACCUGGUAAAGGACAAGACAGAGAAGUACUGGGCUGAUAAAGAAGCAAAGCUCAUAGCAUAUGAAAGAUCCCCUGCAGGAGUUUACAGAACUGGCUUUGAGAGGACAGAUAGCUCAACAUCAGGAAGAGGAGUGACUGGAGGCCAGUGAAACACCCGCAUGGCAGCAGCGUUACACCCCGAUGUCUUGAGAAUUACACGCUGCGGGAUGGCAGAUGUGCCUGAAAGGAUCAAAUCUUCAGCUGAAGUUGAAAGAGAAUUUACUGUCGUGUUGUUACAAGUGCUGUGCAUUUAAUUCCGUCCAGCGUGUUCUUGCCUCUCGCUCUCCUCCUCCCAGGCCACAAGACAGGAAAACAUGCUCCUGUGCUUCCGCAGCACCAGGAAAAAAGGCCUGCUCCCCGCAGGGUCCAGCUGCACCUCUGGAAGCUGAGGAACGACCCACCCCCUUUUGCUACCGACCGGCGAAAUACCCCUGGCGUCAGUCACAGAAAGACACACUUUACCUCUCUGUAUUACAUCUCUGACAAAGCAGGCAGGGAGUACCACAGCUGGCUCCCGUGUAGGGUCCUCAGCCAUCUCCUGUCCAGGCUUUACCACAACUCGUGCUUCAGAUUUCCCUUCUCAGCUCAGGGUGGGCGAAGGGGCUACUUACACUCUGAACCCAGCUGCCUUACUUUGAAAACCAGCAUCAUGGA